rnacentral:rRNA from 1 species
GCCUGGCAGUUCCCUACUCUCGCAUGGGGAGACCCCACACUACCAUCGGCGCUACGGCGUUUCACUUCUGAGUUCGGCAUGGGGUCAGGUGGGACCACCGCGCUACGGCCGCCAGG